rnacentral:lncRNA from 1 species
GGCAUCACUGAUCACCCCUCUUGCUGUAGUCUAAGUUGUUUUAUUUUCUGAUAACAUCGUCACUACAAUCUUUCUAAUGUGUUCUGAUGAAUAUUUACCUUGGUUUCGCAAAGAAAAAAGGAGGCUUCAUGAAAAGAUGGAAUAAUUACGAAGGUAAAUAUCAAUCUCGAGGAAGGAAGGAAGGAAGGAUCAAGGUUCUUUCGCAACUUGCCUGAAGUAUUCCAAGUACGUUGAAGAUGACAAGAAGAAAGUAGAAGGAUGACAAGAAGGACAGACAAGUCUAUAUACGUAUAUCCACUUUCCAUUUGUUGAUAACCGUCUUGAACUUGGUCUGUGCAGUAGUUGCGGUAGAGAAAUAACUACGAGAUCCUCCCUAUCUACCUACUUUAGCAAUUUCAGACGACUAUUCUCACUGGAAAUACUCUCGUAUUAUAUUAUUCUCUCUUUUUAUUCAGGUUCUACGUUUACGAGCGAUGUGUUCGAGGAUGUCACGAAACGUCGUCUCAUCGUAGACGAGAGCCACGAGGAAACGGCCGUUACGGAAGAGACGCGCUGUUAAUAAAUAACUACGGUUGCUUCGGUACUCGUAACUUCUUCUUCUUCAAGAAAGACAGAGAGAGAGAGAGAGAGAGAGAGCGAGAGAUUUAAACAGAAAGAAAAGGAACAGGAAGUUAUGUCACGUUCGUCAAAGCGCGAACCGUGGAAAUAUCAAACAUGAACGGACACAAUUUAAUCGUUAGACGCGUCAAGAUGAUAUCCUUACGACCUUAAUUUUCCUACUACACUGCAAUUCGAUUCGCAUC